UACGUAGGGGGCGAGCGUUGUCCGGAAUCAUUGGGCGUAAAGAGCUCGUAGGCGGCUCAGUAAGUCGGGUGUGAAACCCCCAGGCUCAACCCAGGAACUGCGUCCGAUACUGGUUGGCUUGAAUCCGGGAGAGGGAUGUGGAAUUCCUGGUGUAGCGGUGAAAUGCGCAGAUAUCAGGAGGAACACCGGUGGCGAAGGCGGGUCUC
rnacentral:rRNA from 1 species